ACAUGUGUAUGCUGUGACUAUUAUCUUCAUUGAAUUGCAAUUGUAGUUUUCCAAAAUAUUUUCAUUUGGAUGUAAAGUAUUCAUGUUUGUUUCCAUAAAAUCAGGGAAGUAAAGACAAGAAUGUAAGAAUGCCUACAACCCUAGGAGAGUUCAUGUAUGAACUCUUUAAUUGCCUACUGCCCAAGGAAGCAGUGUGGAAGGGAAGAGGGGGUUCAGAUAUUAGAUUGAUAUAGGUUUGAAUUAAAUUUUCAUUGUACAUACUCUUUUUUAAGGUAUUUAUUUCAUUUACAUUUCCAAUGGUAUCCCAACAGGCCCCCACAUGCUCCCCCACCCACUCCCCCACCCACCCACUCCCACUUCUUGGCCCUGGCAUUCCCCUGUACUGAGGCAUAUAAAGUUUGCACGACCAAUGGGCCUCUCUUUCCAGUGAUGGCCGACUAGGCCAUCUUCUGAUACAUAUGCAGGUAGAGACAAGAGCUCUGGGGGGUACUGGUUAGUUCAUGUUGUUGUUCCACCUAUAGGGUUGCAGCUCCUUGAUUACUUUCUCUAGCUCCUCCAUUGGGGGCCUUGUGAUCUAUCCAAUAUCUGACUGUGAGCAUCCACUUCUGUGUUUGCUAGGCACCGGCAUAGUCUCACAAGAGACAGCUAUAUCUGGUUUCUUUCAGCAAAAUCUUGCUAGUGUAUGCAAUGGUGUCAGCGUUUGGAGGCUGAUUAUGGGAUGGAUCCCCGGAUAUGGCAGUCUCUAGAUGGUCCAUCCUUUCGUCUCAGCUCCAAACUUUGUCUCUGUAAUUCCUUCCAUGGGUGUUUUGUUCCCAAUUCUAAGAAGGGACAAAGUGUCCACACUUUGGUCUUCAUUCUUCUUGAGUUUUAUGUGUUUCGCAAAUUGUAUCUUAUAUCUUGGGUAUUCUAAGUUUCUGGCCUAAUAUCCACUUAUCAGUGAGUACAUAUCAUGUGAGUUCUUUUGUGAUUGGGUUACCUCACUCAGAAUGAUAUUUUCUAGUUCCAUCCAUUUCCCUAAGAAUUUCAUAAAUUCAUUGUUUCUAAUAGCUGAGUAGUACUUCAUUGUGUAAAUACACCACUGUUUUCUGUAUCCAUUCCUCUAUUGAGGGACAUAUGGGUUCUUUCCAGCUUCUGGCUAUUAUAAAUAAGGCUGCUAUGAACAUAGUGGAGCAUGUGUCCUUCUUACCAGUUGGAACAUCUUCUGGUUAUAUGCCCAGGAGAGGUAUCUUAUACAUGAAGACUGAGCUCUUAGAGAUUCAGUUCCCUCUUGAGUAAAACAUAAGUGCAGUCACUUAGUACAAUACUCAUAUGCAACAAGUUGCAAUAGAGAAGAUUAGUUAUUUAUAUUUUAGAGAUGGGAGACUAAAGGUUAUUCUAUACAGUGGCUAGUGAACAGGUAUGGAGUAGAUAUUAAUCAGACGAUCUCAUGAAUUAAUAUAAUAUUAGCCUUAAGUCUCUGCAAAAAAGAUAGCCUGUACUUCAAAAGCAUAAAACAGAGUGCCCCCACUGUAGCUUCUUCAGGUGAAACCUCAGCUAAGAUCUGAAGAAGGAAAUGGUACUAAUCAGGACACAACCAUUUAUGAUCCUUCUGGAUUGUAUCCAGUUCCUUUGCAUUCUCUUGGGUGGCUAUGACAAAUUCCUUCCUUCCUUCCCUCAUUCCCUCAUUCCCUCCCUAAUUUUAUUUUAUAGAGCCAUUCAUUUUUCUCUUAACUUGUGCUUUUUGUCCUGUUUUAAAGGAAAAAGUAGCCCUUUCAUCUAUUGAGAUUUAAAUUUCACCUGUUUUAGAUCCCACAACAUCAUACAACCUUCAGAUUUAAGCUCAGUUCAGUACCCACUUUUAAUCUUCAGGAUUAAAUCCAAGUCUUAGAACAUGGCCCAAAAGGCAUGCCUAUGUACAUCUUACACCAUAGCCGAACAAUUUACUGUAGACCCCUGAAUGUGUUAAAUUUUAACUCUUCUUUGUAUUUAAUAAUCAUUUCCCACAGAGGACACACCAUUUCCCCCCAAUACAUUCUCAUCUUGUUGACCAAGACUUCCUUCCCAUCUGUGAAACAGAUUGCAUUUCAGUUGCUUUAAUGUAUCAUGGUACACCACAACUCUCAAGACCAGACUGAGUACUUACCUGUUCUCUUGGCUUCUAAGUGCCCACCACUUUCCUGGAAUUUACCAUAUCAUUUUAUAAUGUGAGUCUGGGACACAAACAAAUGUGGGUGUGUAAGAAACUUCCACUUUAAAAUGUUUAUCAAGCUAUCUUAUAGUCAACAUUCUUCCAAGAAAGGAAAAUACACAAUUUUAGUUAAUAGUUGGGCCUCCCCCAUCCUAUUGAUACCAGAUAAGCCCAUCCUUUGCUACAUAUGCAGCUUGAGCCAUGGGUCCUUCCAUGUGUUUUCUUUGAUUGGUGGUUUAGUCCCUGGGAGCUCUGGGGGGUCUGGUUGGUUGAUAUUAUUGUUCUUCCUAUAGGGUUGCAAACCCCUUGAGCUCCUUUAGUCCUUCCCCUAACCUCUCCAUUGGGGUCCCCAUGCUCAGUCAGAUGGUUGACUGCAAGUAUUUGCAUCUGUAUUGGUCAGGAUCUGGCAGAGUCUCUCAGGAGACAGCUUUAUCAGGCAAGCACUUCUUGUCAGCAAGCACUUCUUGAUAUCAGCAAUAGUUACUGGUAUUGUGGCUGCAUAUUGGAUGGAUAGCCUGGUGGGGCAGUCUCUAGAUGGCUUUUACUUUAGUCUCUGCUCCACUCUUUGUCCCUGUAUUUCCUUUAGACAGGAGCAAUUCUGGGUUAAAUAUUUUGAGACAGGUGUGUGGUUCCAUCCCUCAACUGGGGACUGUGUCUAACCUUUGGAUAAGGUCUCUACAGGUUCUCUCUGCCUUUUGUUGGAUAUUUCAGCUAAUGUCAUCCCUGUUGUGUCCUGAGAGCCUGUUGCUUUCCUGACAUCUGGGACUUUCUGUUGGCUACUCCAGUUCCCCAUUCACCAUUGCCGCACACCUCUGUUCAAUUUCCUGACGCUCUGUACCUAUCUCCCAUCUCCUCCCACACCUGAUCCUGUCCUCCUUUUCUCCCUUCCCCUCUUCUCUUCCUCCCAAGUCCCUCCCAUCCUCUACCUCCUGUGAUUACUUUGUUCCCCCUUCUAAGUAAGACUGAAGCAUCCACACUUUGGUCUUCCUUCUUCUUGAGCUUCAUAUGGUCUGUGAGUUGUGUGUAUUCCAAACUUCUUUCCUAAUAUCCACUUAUCAGUGAGUACAUACCAUGUAGAGUCAAAAGGUAUGUGUAACUAAGUCCUUGUUAAGGUGUGCUCUUACCAAUUAUUCAUUUAUCCUUAUCUUGGCUUUAUGUGUUCCCUGUAGGAUGAUCUGAACUUCUCCAAUGACCCCCAUUCCCUCUGGAAUUCAAAGCCUCUUCUUCUUUAAUCAUUAUUGUUAUGUGCAUUUUAUAUUAUUUUAUGAGAGACAAUAGCAGCAUAGAGCUUAAAGGCAUCUCCAAGACACUAAUGGAGCAUGUUUGUACUUUAAAUUACUCUUAGUUAAAUGUGAUUAGAUCACCAUGUAUCCCAUAAUGCUGUGAUGUAAAUUAAGAAAGUCACUGCAGUUAUAUGCUUAGAUUAUCAAAAGUAUGUAAAGUAUCUUUCUGGGAGAUUAGUUCUUUCUUUGACUGGCACCAGACUUCAACCUUUUCCCUUUUCAAACAUAAGAUUUCUGGGGAAAUUCCAAUCCCAAGGGACUAUUGUUUCCAUGUUCCAACAUUCAAAUGGAGGGUACACAGAUAACAUCAUUACCACCAAGCCAACAAUUAUACACAAAGCUCUACUCCCUUAGCUAAAUUCAUUAGUAAUCCAUUAACAACUACAUUCUGCAAACCGUAAUUGAUCUUAAGGACACUGCUUGGACAAAGGCUUAGUGACAAAACAAGAUCCUAUUUUUCAAAACCUCAAUACAGGAGAUAAAACUGAACUUGUUAGUACAGAACAAAGAGUAAAAAGCAUCAAUUGCCACGCUGAAGGUUUGCAUGUUUCUCUUUAAAAUCGUGGAUUUUUCUCAAAUUGCACACACUUAAUUCAUACUAUUUAUACCUCUCUCCCCCUCAAACUCUUCCCAUGUUCUCCCGUUCCAUCUCAAAUUCAAAGCCUUUUGUUCCUUAAUCAUCAUUGUUAUGUACCCUGUACAUUACUUUAUAAGAGACAGUAGCAGCAUACAACUUAAAGGUACACUAUCCCAAAAGAACCAGGUGACAUUGCAUCUCAGUUCCAUCACUUGCCAAUUAAUGAGACUCCAAGACAUUAAUGUAGCAUAUUUGUACUUCAAAUUACUUUUUUUUUGUCAAAGUGGAUGAGAUCAGUAUGCAACCCACAAUGCUGUGCUGUAGAUUAAGAAAGUCACUGCAGUGAGAUGCUUAGAGGAACACAUUUAGUGCAGAGUUAUCAUUAUAAAUCAUUCAGUAAAACAGUGGGAAGGCAUUAGGAGAGUUUGUACAUAAUUGAACUUUGCAAAGAUUGCAGCAACUACAUUAGGAAAAAUUUGAUGUAUCUUAAUUUGGAAAAUGUAUCUGGAGGUUAUAGUACUUGCCCAGGCAAGAGACUCUGAAGGCUAGUAUCAUGGGAACUGCAGGAAAUAUGCCAUGAUACAGAUAUAAUAGACAAGUAUUUAAAGAAGAUUAAAUAAAAGAUUUAAAACUCUUUAGCAUGAUACAUGCUGGUAUAAUUGUGGUGGGUGUAAGUGGAAGGAAUUUAAACUGGCCUGUAAAGUGCUGGCUUGAGAAAUUAAAGUAUCACAGAUUAAAGAGGAAAAUGAAGAUGAAUUGCUCUCAUGUUUUCAGUAUUCAUAAUCUUCAGAUGAUUCGUGUUUAUUGAAGCAGAGAAAAUGGGAUGAUUUCAUUCAUAUGUAGCUUUAAAGUGUAUUGAUGGUUGGUGUAUUUUGAGAUAAUUUCCACAAAAGAGUUCAGUCCUGCUCCAGGAAAAAUGUGCUUUCCUCGCCACAUCUUUCUUUGAUAAGCCUGGCAUUUCUACAACUG
rnacentral:lncRNA from 1 species